AGAGUUUGAUCCUGGCUCAGAACGAACGCUGGCGGCAGGCUUAACACAUGCAAGUCGAACGCCCCGCAAGGGGAGUGGCAGACGGGUGAGUAACACGUGGGAACGUGCCCUAAGGUUUGGAAUAUUCCCGGGAAACUGGGAGCAAUACCAAAUGUGUCCGCAAGGAGAAAGAUUUAUCGCCUUAGGAUCGGCCCGCGUCGGAUUAGCUUGUUGGUGGGGUAACGGCGCACCAAGGCGACGACGGGUAGGGGACCUGAGAGGGUGGUCCCCCACACUGGGACUGAGACACGGCCCAGACUCCUACGGGAGGCAGCAGUGAGGAAUAUUGCACAAUGGGGGCAACCCUGAUGCAGCGACGCCGCGUGGGCGAUGAAGGUUUUCGGAUCGUAAAGCCCUUUUCUGCGUGACGAUAAUGACGGUAGCGCA
rnacentral:rRNA from 1 species